rnacentral:lncRNA from 1 species
CAAGCUUGUAUUCUUUUUGCCGAUCCUAACCUUAUUCCUUUGUUCAAAUAAAAAAAAAUAAAAAGAAUAUGAGCGACACUAGCCCAGUAAGUAGAACUUGUACUUUCUUAUCGGAUCAAACAUAAGUUUUUCAUGAUAAUGCAAUAUUUAAAAAAUAACAGGUAAUACAAAAUAAAGUAUUUCAUAGAGCAUAUAACAAAACAAGUUAUAAACUCAUCAUGCAUGCAUAAAUCAUGUAUAUUUCACAAUCAUGAAUCGUAAAUUAUUUUCAUCAUGUAUUCAUGUCAUGUUUCAAAAUAUUACUCACAGAUAUUCAUGCUAAGGUCACUAUUAUACCUGUG